AUUGAACGCUGGCGGCAGGCCUAACACAUGCAAGUCGAGCGGUAGCACAGGAGAGCUUGCUCUCCGGGUGACGAGCGGCGGACGGGUGAGUAAUGUCUGGGAAACUGCCUGAUGGAGAGGGAUAACUACUGGAAACGGUAGCUAAUACCGCAUAACGUCGCAAGACCAAAUAGGGGGACCUUCGGGCCUCUUGCCAUCCGAUGUGCCCAGAUGGAAUUAGCUAGUAGGUGGGGUAACGGCUCACCUAGGCGACGAUCCCUAGCUGGUCUGAGAGGAUGACCAGCCACACUGGAACUGAGACACGGUCCAGACUCCUACGGGAGGCAGCAGUGGGGAAUAUUGCACAAUGGGCGCAAGCCUGAUGCAGCCAUGCCGCGUGUAUGAAGAAGGCCUUCGGGUUGUAAAGUACUUUCAGCGGGGAGGAAGGUGUUGUGGUUAAUAACCACAGCAAUUGACGUUACCCGCAGAAGAAGCACCGGCUAACUCCGUGCCAGCCGCCGCAGUAAGAC
rnacentral:rRNA from 1 species